rnacentral:lncRNA from 1 species
AGAGGAGCGCUGUUUCUGGAGGAGUUAGGGGAAGGAGGCUGCCUGGUAAGCCAGGAAAGGGGCUUCUGGCCGUUCUGUUGGAGCGCCUCUGACUGACUUCCCCCAUGUGUCCGUGUGGCCACACCGUGCUACUUUCAGAGGCAGUGGGCUUUUCGCUAAGGGAUAAAAAGAAGUAAAACCUUGCCUUUAGCGCAGCUCUCCUUCACUGGGCAGAUUGCUCUCCCUCCCCACUCUCCCAGGCCCAAAUUGGAUCUCAGCGCCUGGGAGCUCCAACUUUAGCAAGUGCGAAAUCCUGUCUUCGGUUUUGGAAUUUUCAUCCGCACAGACUAUAUCAGCCACGGAUAGGAUAUGUGAGAAUACCAGCAUGUCAAGGCUGGGAAUCAUCCUUAGGCAUCACCUAGCCAGUCCUGCCUCUCAUUUUAAGAUGCAGAGUGUUCAUAUGAGGAGAGACUUUCCCUUGUCUCCGUCAUCUGUGAUUUCACUUCCCUGACAGAAGACGAAGCUUCCAUCUCAGAUGUUUUCUUAAAUGAUGAAACAGCAUACGCCUCUGUUCUUGUCAGCUCAGGGAAAACAGAUCUGGGGACCUCUUCAUCUCUGCGUUGGGAAGCAUAGGUGGUAUAAUCCCCUCCUGUCACGUCCAACGUUGCAUAGUCAGAAGCUUCGCCCUUGUAGUUGGUGCACACAGCACGGUAGGUUCCACUGUCAUCAGUAUGACAGUCCAGAAUUUCCAGGGUGAGGACUCCACUCGUGUUGGUGUAAUGAAUCUUACUGCUUUCUUGGAGUUCCACACCAUUGUGGUACCAUUUAACCUCGGCAGUUGGCUUAGACUGAACAUUUAAAAUAAAACGUGUAUUUUGGCCA